rnacentral:rRNA from 1 species
AGUGAACGCUGGCGGUAGGCCUAACACAUGCAAGUCGAACGGCAGCACAGGAGAGCUUGCUCUCUGGGUGGCGAGUGGCGGACGGGUGAGGAAUACAUCGGAAUCUACUCUGUCGUGGGGGAUAACGUAGGGAAACUUACGCUAAUACCGCAUACGACCUACGGGUGAAAGCAGGGGACCUUCGGGCCUUGCGCGAUUGAAUGAGCCGAGGUCGGAUUAGCUAGUUGGCGGGGUAAAGGCCCACCAAGGCGACGAUCCGUAGCUGGUCUGAGAGGAUGAUCAGCCACACUGGAACUGCGACACGGUCCAGACUCCUACGGGAGGCAGCAGUGGGGAAUAUUGGACAAUGGGCGCAAGCCUGAUCCAGCCAUACCGCGUGGGUGAAGAAGGCCUUCGGGUUGUAAAGCCCUUUUGUUGGGAAAGAAAUCCAGCUGGCUAAUACCCGGUUGGGAUGACGGUACCCAAAGAAUAAGCACCGGCUAACCUCGUGCCAGCCGCCGCCGUAA